ACAAUUAUAUGUGGUUGCAUGUUGCGUAUGAUGUCUAGCUUGUAUUGCUUCUAACUUUGUUGAAUUGCAUCUGCUUACUUUUCACAUAAUCCCUGUGAAUAUGACACAUGUUCCUGUUUCUAGAACAUACUAUAUCUGAUCACACCAUGUUCUUACAUCAGACUACUGUUCUUGCAUAUCCCGCAUCAGUCACUUAUGAUAAGGCACCUUUAAGUCACCACUUUUAUAUUGGUUGUGUCUUGCAUAUGAUUUCUAGCAUGUACUGCCUCUAAUUUGUUGAAACGCCAGACAGUUUGAACUUGGCAGAGUGAUAUUGGUUGCAUCUUUCAUAUGGUUUCUAGCUUCCAGUGCUUCUAAUUUGUUGAAAUGCCUUCUGCUUAGUUACCACAUCAUAGGUGUGAAUAUGUCACGUUGUCCUGUUUUUCGUACAUAUUCCGUCCUCGUAUCAUGUGUUUGCCUUUCAUCCGAGAAGUGUUCAUCGGUAUCAUGCAUGAAUAAGUUCUGAAGAGCGAAUUUUAUUCCUUUUUCUUAUCGGUUUGACUUCACCAUGCAAAAUCAAUACUGCUGAAGGAAAUUAGUCCGGCAAUGGAUGAUGGUGGUCCGUCGGAGAAACUCAAAUAGAGGGUCUCUACAGAUUAUACUCGGCCAUCCUCCCAACAAGAUUCGCAAGACAACACAAGGCUGGACAGUCAACGUAGCUAUGUAGAUGAUGAGCACACCUCCCCUACUCCACCAUCACAGGUGCUUGCUCUAACUUGGCACUAUUAUAUGUGGUUGCAUGUUGCGUAUGAUGUCUAGCUUGUAUUGCUUCUAACUUUGUUGAAUUGCAUCUGCUUACUUUUUACAUAAUGCCUGUGAAUAUGACACGUGUUCCUGUUUCUAGAACAUAUGUGUAGAUGAUGAGCACAUCUCGCCUACUCCAACAUCACAGGUGCUUGCUCUAACUUGGAACUGUUAUAUGUGGUUGCGUGUUCCGUAUGAUGUCUAGUUUGUAUUGCUUCUGAUUUUGUUGAAUUGCAUCUGCGUAGCUUACAACUUAUACCUGCAACAAUCACUUACCCAUAAGACACAUUUAACUUGGGAGUGUGAUGCAGGUUGCAUCUUGCAUUGUCUUCUAGCUUGUACUGCUUCUAAUUUCUUGAAAUGGCACUUACAACGAGACACUUUUUACCUGAUAGAGUGAUAUU
rnacentral:lncRNA from 1 species